AUUGAACGCUGGCGGCAUGCUUUACACAUGCAAGUCGAACGGCAGCGCGGGCUUCGGCCUGGCGGCGAGUGGCGAACGGGUGAGUAAUGCAUCGGAGCGUGCCCAGUAGUGGGGGAUAGCCCGGCGAAAGCCGGAUUAAUACCGCAUACGACCUGAGGGUGAAAGCGGGGGACCGAAAGGCCUCGCGCGAUUGGAGCGGCCGAUGUCGGAUUAGCUAGUUGGUGGGGUAAAGGCUUACCAAGGCGACGAUCCGUAGCUGGUCUGAGAGGACGACCAGCCACACUGGGACUGAGACACGGCCCAGACUCCUACGGGAGGCAGCAGUGGGGAAUUUUGGACAAAGGGGGCAACCCUGAUCCAGCCAUGCCGCGUGCGGGAAGAAGGCCUUCGGGUUGUAAACCGCUUUUGUUCGGGAAGAAAUCCUCUGGGCUAAUACCCCGGGGGGAUGACGGUACCGGAAGAAUAAGCACCGGCUAACUACGUG
rnacentral:rRNA from 1 species